GCUGAAGUAACUCAGUUGGUAGAGUAGCGCACUCGUAAUGCGCAAGUCGUGAGUUCGAGUCUCGCCUUCAGCACCA
rnacentral:tRNA from 2 species